rnacentral:lncRNA from 1 species
UUAGAGAAGGGGCAAGACCGGGUGGGAUUGCUGGCUGGCUCUGUUCUCAGGAAAUUCUGUCACAGGUGCCAACAGCAUUUAUUUGCAGGAAACGGCCCCUCCCGGGGGACCAGGAAACACAACGAUUUGACUUCUAAAAUAAACCCAAGAAUAUUCUUCGGCUUUCUGCUGGCCCCUUAGGGUAGCAUGGCCCAGUGGAUAGGGUGUGGAGCCCAAGCAGUGAACUGGGAAUUUGGCUCAAGCACCUUGGCCCUCCUUUUUCACAUCCCCAAAAUGUGCAGCGAGGGCGCUAAGCACUUCUGUCUCGGAUGGUUGUUGUGAUGGUCAAAGGAAAGAACUGAGACGAUGUGUAGCGAUUGCUUAACUCAGUGCCUGGUACACGGAAGGUUCUGGGUCAGGGAAAGGAGCUCCAUGUCAAGUGGCAAGUCCCUUCCAUCCUGCAACAGAAUUUAGCUUCCCUGUCCUCCUGGAAGGUCCUCAGCCUCUUCCCCAUAGAACAAAAUACCAAGCUGGCGAACACCCAAAUUAAAGGUGGGGGGACUUGUCCGUGUCUAGGAGUAUCUCCAGAAUUCAAUUGCAACACCUGUCGCUUAGAAUUAAGCCAAGACACUACCUGGAGAUCCCGGGGGCCAGUGCUGAUCACUUGGCUCCCGGGGUCAGAGUCGCCUCACUGGAAACCACAUCCCCAAGAGUCUGGCACCCGAUGGCCCCCUCCCUGGGCCUGCCUCUUCCCACCUGUGAAUGCUGCAGCCCAGCCGGAAGGAGUUCUAACAUGGUAUCUGAGCUCUAGAACACUAUGACCUCGGUCUUUAUUCCACUCCUUCUAUGUGGCUGGUCAUUUACGGGAGUGCCACAGUAUCACGGGAGUGCCACAGUAUCACGCCUUCGUGGGAUUCAAAUCUGAUCAGGAAUAGUGAGGAAAUGCGCAAAGGGAGGCAUCACCAAGGGGCAGAGAGACUCCAGGCAGGCCUCAGAAACAACAUGGACUUUUGCCCUCUGGCUAGGCAUGUAAGGAGUUUAGAGAUUGGCCACCCAAUCCUGCCAACAAGGAAAAAGCCGAGCAAACUGAAAACCAGCCACUCUUCUUAGAUCCUUCAGAGAGGUGAGGUCACAAGGUAAGCAGCUGUGCCUGGACCUGGAGAGACAGGCAGGCAGGUACAGAGAGUGGCGGCUCACCAAGAAGAAACCCAGGAGCCGGAGCCUCCGAUCUGUGUGGGAACCAGCGCUGGGGUAGGGACAUCUGACCCGCAGCUGACAAGGGGCUGGAGGUUCCGCGCGGCCAACUGGAGACAGGAGAACUCCAGUGGGGCCCCAUCAUCGGGGCAGGAGGGAGGAAACAUUUCUGUGACUUUUACCUCCAGGAGCCCAACCUAGUUCUCACAGUGAAGGGCGGGAGCAAUCCCCUUGUACUUCCGGUAGAGGGAAGGGAAAAGAAACCAUUCUGACAAUGCCACAACAUUCUUUCUUUCUUAACCAUGCCUACCCUCAAGAGAGACUAUGAUUCCAGGGCUCAGCCUGCUGGGGUUACAUCAGAACCUAACCUACCCGGGGAAGGGAAGUCCCCAACCCCAGUCCCCUCCACCCAUCCAGUCCCACCUAAGGGGAAAUAAUACCGAGAAGCACAGAUGAAGUUCACGUUUCAGGGGUGCAGGCUCGUUGAGCGACUGAGACCUAAUCACAGGACUACAGAAUGUUUCUCUUCCCUCUGUACCUUAGGACUGCAUCACUAAAUUCCUGUUUGUUGCCACUCUUUUUACCCAGUACACCGUAUCUACCUUUAAAACAAAACAAAACAAAAUUUAAGGCUAAAAACACAGAUUGAAGAAAAUGAAUAAAAUCACAACCAGAGUCUGGUCUGACA